rnacentral:tRNA from 1 species
GCCCGGAUGGUGGAAUCGGCAGACACGGCGGCCUCAAAAGCCGCUGCCCGAAAGGGCGUGCGGGUUCGAGUCCCGCUCCGGGCA